CGACCUUACCAUGUGGCUCCGGGACAGGAAGGCUACCCCGACGACAUACAGGAGACCUCAACACGCCAAUGGAUGCAGCCAGCCUCCAACUCACCACGCACCUGCACCAACUUGAUGUAGGGAGAGGAGUGAGGCUUCUCUCACGGGAUGACGCCCAGCCAUGGGGCAGCAACAACCCAAGCUAGUUAAUGUACCCUCAGCAGCCGUGCUUGAUAGGAGGGGCCAGGGAAGUGCUUUAAGUCGUUCCAAGAAUGUGAGACAGUGUCAAGUCUGUAAGGCAAGUCAAGGGGAUCCUGUGGCGGCAAGAUCCUUCAGCGGUGCAGGAGAUUAAGGGUUCCAUAAUCGAUUCCGCGCCUGUUGCUGUCCCCAAUUUUCAGGGGGUGCACGUCCUGACUGGGUUAUGAUCAAUACCUGAUGUUUGGUUGUUGCUUAUAUCCUGGAAGGGGGUGGGGGUCCUGCUGGGAGUGGUAGGGCCCAUACGAACUCCUGUAAAAAGAUGUGAGAUCAUUAUAUUUAAUGGAGUGCAAGACCAUCAUUUAGAAUAUGGAACCAACAACCUCGAAAUGUAAUGAUGUACUUUGUAAUAGAUUCAAUCGCAAUUGUCGCUUUCAAGAGGCCUCAUGCAUAGGGUGUAUUUUCUUAUGGUCAUAUGAUUUUGAGGGGACAUCUUUGUAAUAGAUUGAUUCUCAAUUGUCGCUUUCGAUCAAGAGGCCUCAUGUAUAGGGUGUAUUUUCUUAUGGUCAUAUGAUUUUGAGGGGACAUUGGCGGUAAACAUGUAGCUCUGUAGUUUGUAAUAAUAUUCAUAUAGAUUAAUGUUCGGAACCAAGAGGUCACAGUCAGUGUGAAUUUUAUAUGUACAUAUUAAUUUGACAGAACAUUGUGGCAAACUACAAAGAUUUGUUUCAGUCAUAGGUUAGGUCAGUGGUAUCAAAUUUUCAGUACCAUGGGGAUCUGCUGAGGAUCCGUGGUAUGAUUUCACUUGCUCAUGCACUUUAUAAUUGGUUUUCAUAACAUAUGCUCACGGCAUAUGGUUCAUCUCUUGCAUCGAUUACAUGGACAAUCAUAGAUCCUAGUAUGUGGAUUAACCAUGGUUUCACUAUUU